rnacentral:rRNA from 1 species
GUUGGCGGCGUGGAUUAGGCAUGCAAGUCGAACGAAUCCCGGUGGGGGUAACUCUGCCGGGGGAAGUGGCGAAAGGGGCAGUAAGGCGUGGACAACCUGCCCCGGGGACGGGGAUAGCCCUCCUAACGGAGGGGUAAUACCUGGCGACCUGAGUGGGGGGCCUCCCUCGCUCAGCAAAGGAGUUUCGCCCCGGGAGGGGUUCACGUGGUAUUAGCUAGACGGCGGGGUAACGGCCCACCGUGGCCAAGAUGCCUAGCAGGUGUGAGAGCACGACCUGCGCCACUGGCACUGUGACACUGGCCAGACUCCUACGGGAGGCUGCAGUCGAGGAUCUUCGGCAAUGGGCGCAAGCCUGACCGAGCGACGCCGCGUGUGCGAUGAAGGCCUUCGGGUUGUAAAGCACUGUCGAGGGGGAGGAAAGCCCGCAAGGGCCUGACCUAUCCCUGGAGGAAGCACGGGCUAAGUUCGUGCCAGCAGCCGCGGUAAGACGAACCGUGCGAACGUUGUUCGGAUUCACUGGGCUUAAAGGGCGCGUAGGCGGGCGGCAACGUCGGGGGUGAAAUCUCACGGCCCAACCGUGAAACAGCCUCCGAUACGGGCCGCCUCGAGGGAGGUA